GACGCAUUUGAUGAAACACAGGAAAUAUCAAAUGAAGAAUAUCUUUGUUUACAUGGGUCCGAAGAAGCAGGAAACGCUUCAAUUUGAUUAGUAUAGAAAUAAUCUAGGCACGUUUUCUUGUUGAAUCACUUUGCAAACAAUGAAAAACGAUCCAAUUGUCUUGUUUAGUUAGAUCUUUGGAGCAUGGUGAUGGUGUCAGCUUGCUACGAUGGUAGCUAGCUAGCUAUCUCGACGUUAGCAACAAUCAGUCGCUAGCUAAACAGCUCACGGAGGACGACUGACUAUGAUAUUUGACCUCCGAUGUUAUUAAGAUAUUAAAAUAUUUAUAAAAGUAAAGAAAAAAAAUGGAUAUCAGUCUAACAGUUUCCCUAAUGCAGGGCCAGAUGGGUACCGUGAUAGAGAGAGCGGUGAGUGCCGCUGUUGAGACGGUGUUAGGGGAGAUGCUGAAGGUGGUCGGUAUUAAAUUCGACGAGCUGAAGAGGGAGGUCGCAGCAAAAGAAAAAGAGACCGAGAGCAUCAGACAGAUGCUGGACAUAUCCCGAUCUCAGAUGAAGACAAUGCGGAAGUACAUGAACGCUCUGGGUGCCAGGCAGCAGGAGCACUCUGCCACUUACCAGACCAACCAGAGUACAGCAUUCGGUCAUUCGGAUCCGCAUAGACCUCACUGUUCCUCAGCGGCUGCACCCGAGGCAGCACAGUCCUCUGGUUUAUCACAACCACAGAGAAGGACGGUUACCAACACCCACACUGCCAUUACAAAUGGAAAUGUACAGCCAAGGAAUCAAAUCACUAUCGCUCUACCCUCUGAUAACUUGGCCAGAUCCUCCCAACCUUCUGAGAAUAUUAUAAGGGCCACAUCAUCAUCAUCAUCGUUUGACAGCCAUGAUGACCUGACUGCCACGGUCUCACAAGCUCAGGAGAGCCCAUCAUUGAUUACCCCUGUCUCUGCAAUAAACAGUUCAUCAGAGCACCUGGAACCUUUGAAAGAGGAGCCCCCAGCCCCCCUAGACCCCGAGGUGUCUGAUGAGAGCCAGAGGAGGGAGGAGGAAGAAGAGUGUCAGGCUGAGUGGACCAUCAUUACACAGCCACCAGAGACCAGCACAGACCCUGGGGACCAGCUGGUCCUCUCCCCACCCAGGACUGACGGAGCAGAUUGCUUUGCCACCAUGGCUGCUGGGAGUGCCCAGCCUCAGCUCCAGGUGAAAGAGGAGGAGGCCGAGGUGGAGAUCAUCUGUAUCAAGCAGGAACCGGAGGACGUUGAGAGUUUGCUGUUCAACCUGGCUGCUGAGGUCCUCAACUCCCAGGGCAACCUUUUAGACAGGCACACUCAGGGGAGCCUCCUGGACUGUCACAGGACAGUACCCUCACAGGGCCAGAGAGAGAGGACAGCUUCCCUUUCCUCACAGAGCCAGAGGACAUUAACAGAGCACACAGUGUUCAGCUCAGCCAGCCCUUGUACAUAUGGGCUGUCCCAGCCAGUGAUGUCCAUGUCAUGCGGAGUUGCUCCCAGGCCAAUGGUGCGUCCGUGGCCCAAAGACCUGAGUCUGUACGAGGAGUUUAAAAUGAGACGAACUGAGCUGAGGAGGAGGAGCCAGACCCGUCGGAGGGAGAUGGAGAAGAACCUUCCCCAGCCUCUAUUAGCUGACCUGGUGAAGGAGAGACGGGAGAAGACCCGGCUCAGAGUGGCCCGCUGGAGAGCCAAGAGGAAGCUGCAGGCCUGCCAACUGAAUCAGAUGAGCCAGACACAACACCAGGCUGGACCUGGUCUGGGCCAGGGGAACAGUGGGCUGGCGAAUCAUAGCCCGAUUAGCCAACACACACAACACAAAACCACAGGCCCCACUCAGACUCCGCAGAGGAACCAUGCUGCCCUCUCUCAAUCGCAGUACAAUAACAGUUUUUUGUACAACAGAAGUCACUGUGAGACUGGGGCUGGUAACGUUAACUACCCUCCUCACCAGUUCAACUCCUCUCGAAUGCUGGGGCAACACGGAGGACACAAUAUGGUGGAGCCUGUCAUGAUAUCAUCCUCACAGCAGGGCCUCUCACUGACUGACUCAGAGCCCUACCAGUAACAGGAGAACAACAGUACCAGGUCUACUCUACCAGUAACAGGAGAACAACAGUACCAGUUCUACUCUACCAGUAACAGGAGAACAACAGUACCAGGUCUACUCUACCAGUAACAGGAGAACAACAGUACCAUGUCUACUCUACCAGUAACAGGAGAACAACAGUACCAGGUCUACUCUACCAGUAACAGGAGAACAACAGUACCAGUUCUACUCUACAGGAGAACAACAGUACCAGGUCUACUCUACCAGUAACAGGAGAACAACAGUACCAGGUCUACUCUACCAGUAACAGGAGAACAACAGUACCAGGUCUACUCUACCAGUAACAGGAGAACAACAGUACCAGGUCUACUCUACCAGUAACAGGAGAACAACAGUACCAGGUCUACUCUACCAGUAACAGGAGAACAACAGUACCAGGUCUACUCUACCAGUAACAGGAGAACAACAGUACCAGGUCUACUCUACCAGUAACAGUAGAACAACAGUACCAGUUCUACUCUACCAGUAACAGGAGAACAACAGUACCAGGUCUACUCUACCAGUAACAGGAGAACAACAGUACCAGGUCUACUCUACCAGUAACAGGAGAACAACAGUACCAGGUCUACUCUACCAGUAACAGUAGAACAACAGUACCAGUUCUACUCUACCAGUAACAGGAGAACAACAGUACCAGGUCUACUCUACCAGUAACAGGAGAUCCAAUUAGACACUUGUUUUGUAAGGAUUCUAUUCCCUAUGUGGUGCUCUACUUUGGACAAGGGCCUUUUUGGCUUCCUAGGGAAUACUUUGACUUAUGGGACACAACCUAUUACUUCUGGCUAAUAACAUGAGAUAUUGCACAUGGAAUUGUGUGUCUAACUGUCUUAGACAAAUGUAUUUAAAUGUGCUUUUAUUUUAGUAUAACAGCCUAAUAAUUAUUUAAUUGCUAACAAAAAAAUAACCCCAAAAUGUUUUUUUUUGUACAACAAUUCUUUAUUAAAGUACAUUAUUUAUGUUAAAAUAGAGGCAGUGACCAUCCUUACAUGUCUAGAAAUAUACAUACUACAUGAAUAACUGCUAGAAUCAUAACAUGGAGGAUACUGUACUGAAUAACAGAGGGUACUGUACUGAAUAACAUGGAGGGUACUGUACUGAAUAACAUGGAGGGUACUGUACUGAAUAACAUGGAGGAUACUGUACUGA